CAGGACCUUCUUAGGAGUGUUCCUAGAAGUUGUAAGACCUUGUAGGCAUCUCUGUGACUCACCUGCAGCAGUGCCCAACAGAUGGUGGAAGAGGGUGGCAUUUUCUAAAUAUCCUGAGGACCAAGGAGGAGAGAAUACAUUUUCCAGCAAAGAAGAAUAAAGUAGAUGCCCAGAGAGAAGCAGAUACAAGGGAUGCAGGGAGAUUCCUGGCAGCUUCCUGGCCCUGUUCUCCAUCUGCCGGUGGUUCCUGCUUCAUCCCUGUCCUGGGGCUCCAUGAGACACAUCCCUUUCCUGUUACUGCAUUUCUCUUCACUGAAGCUAAGGACUUCUGUUCCUUAUAACUCCAGCAAUUAUGUCUAAUACAGAUAGUAAAUAUGCUUAAAAAAGAUUAUUCCAUGCCCUGCAAAUGGUACAGUGUUUUUUUCCUCCAAUACUAUUUUAUAUAAUCUUGAAAACACUUGUAUUCUUUAAAAGUG
rnacentral:lncRNA from 10 species